rnacentral:rRNA from 1 species
CCAUGCCGCGUGGGUGAUGAAGGCCCUAGGGUUGUAAAGCCUUUCGGCGGGGAAGAUAAUGACGGUACCCGCAGAAGAAGCCCCGGCUAACUUCGUGC